GCCUCUCUUGUCUAAUGGUUAUGACGUCAGACUUCUAUUCAGCGAAUCUGGAGGUUGCGGGUUCGAGUCCCGCGAGAGGUU